CGGCACCACACUUCCCGCAACAUCUACUCCGGUACCUGACACGGCCGGGGAGA
rfam:Nocardioides sp. Root151 contig_1, whole genome shotgun sequence.